rnacentral:lncRNA from 1 species
UACGUUUCCCACCGCUUGAGAUGGACUCAGCUCUAUCAGUGACUUUACAAAACACUUGUUUUAAUAUUUUAAAUUUGCUUAUUAUACAUGUAGCCCUCGUGAUUUUCAUAGUGAAUUUAUAAAAAUAAAAGAAGAAGAAGAAAUAGAGCUAUGUGUGUUCGCUUAAGAGAACAAUUAAUGUUAUCAGUUCAAAACAAAACACACGUCAGACAUGAAAGUAACACAUGACUUUUCACAUUCACUCUCUCAUCUAAAAAGUGAAACAGCAUCUAACAUAUCUCCUUUCAUGAGCAACAUCCUACUUCUUUACAUCACUGAUGGUGGAAUAGAGGUGGUUGGGAUCAUCUCCAGCAGAAGAGGAGAAAGCUUUCACAGUGCUGUAGGUCACAGUGCUGUAAGUCACAGUGUCAUCUUCAUCAUCAUUAUCAUUACAGACCUGGAAUGAAAUAUGAUGGAGCCCAAUUAGCUUUUUUCUGGCCUGCAACAGAAGUUUAAAAUUCAUGAUCUUAAUGUUAAUAUAUUCUUUUGAAAACCUUACCUUGGCUUUACACUUGGACCUCCUGAUAAAACUGACAGAGACAUAGGAGACAUCUUCAUCAUCAGCCUGAAUAGUGAAGACAACAUAUUGACUGCUCACUAAUGCAUAUGCGGAGUCAGUUUGACAUCUAUCGGUCCUUUUUGUCUUUUUUGUCCUAUUUGUCUUUCAUCCUUUCUGAUAAAGGAUAGAACUACAUUUCAAGGAAUAAAUGCAGUAGCUGUGGGAGUUUUCAAAAAGUAGCUACAUACAUUUUUUUGGCAGCUGUGUUCACCCGCCACCUUAGUCGUUUCUUCCACCUGUGUUUUGUUUCCUGAAAAGAUGAAAAGAAAAGAAAAACAAACGUUACAAUGUUUAAAUCCAUUUAACUUCCUCAAUUAUAUUUUCAAUUACAGAUUACAUUUUUUUCUCACCUUUUGAUUUUUUCCAUCUGAUAAUCACUGUAACAAUUAUUAGCACCACAGUUCCCGCAAGAACAAUGAUGAGCCAUUUUAACAAUUCUGGAAAGAAAAAUUAAAACCACAGCCACUGGUAAUGUUAAGCAUAUGAUGUUGUGAACAAUAUACAGCUAACUUUAUGAAUGGUAUAUAUCAAUGGAUAAUGAAUUUCUGGAGCCACAGCUAACGUCUAAAGUCUACAAUUCAGACCUAGGCUUAAAAAGGUGUGAAAGAUACAGUCAGUACCUGUUUUUUCUUUUCCAUUUGUUCCAUUUAUUGAUGUAGUUUGGCUUGAUGGUGAUAUAGUAGUUGUAUUUGUCGAGUUUGAUGUUGUUGUUGUUGUGCUGUCCCCUUAAAUAUUAAGAAAUGUAUUAAAAAAUAAAUAACGUUUUGUUCAGCUUUUGUUCUUGUCCAAAUGUUGACUGUAACAAGAUAUGAUAAGAGAACUUCUAAACCCACUGACACAAUAAUACAUCUCUGAUAACAAUAAAAAACAUUAUGGUUUUUUUUUCUUCUUUGCACAAACUCAGUUUCACAGUAAAUACAUAAAUACAGUCAGUGUCUGUGAAGGUUCUCAGCCAUGCAGGUCUCGUAGUCUAAGGAGCUUGGAAAGAAAAGCGUCUGGACUUCUUUAGAUUUCUUGAAGACGUUUCUGUCAUGGUCGAACGGUCCUCCCCGACGACCUGCCUGUGGUAUGUGGCGACCCCUGACCUGGAAGCACCUCCGCUAGGCUGCUGGAUUAGUGGUAGCUGGAUGGACGAUUAGGCCCUAAUUGUUCAUCCAGCUACCACUAAUCAUUCUCCGUUUUGGGCUGAGGUAUUUAACGGUGUGUCCAGACGGCAGUCGACGCUGGAUUGUUACUCGAAGCCCGGUAGUACAGUGUGCCCGGUAUUUGUGAUGUUGCUCUGGCUAUCUCUUCAAGAAACCUAAAGAAGUCCAGACGCUUUUCUUUCCAAGCUCAUUAAAUACAGUCAGUGUUAUGUUUGUCUGUCAUUGAGACAUUAAGCUUAAAAAGAUAAGAGUGGUUCAGUCACUACCUGAUGAAAUCAUUUCUGUUCCAUUUGUUGGAGUAGGUUUAAUUGUAGUUGUACUUGUUGAGUUUGAUGUUCUUGGUUGUGCUGCUGUUGUACUGUUCCCUGAAAUAAUAAUAAAAAAUCUAUAAAAAUUAAAUAAAUACAUGCAAAAAAAAAAAAAACUGUCCAACAUAAAAUAUUACAUGUUAUCUUUGCAACUACAGAAGUCAAAAAC